rnacentral:rRNA from 1 species
ACAACGGAGGUGCAAGGGCUGUCGCUGGCCUUCAAAGGUCGUGCACGCCCGGGCCCUCUCACAAUCCAUCUCACCCUUUGUGCAUCACCGCGUGGGUCCCCUUUGCGGGAGGGCUCACGUUUUAACAUAAAAACUCGAUACAGUGUAGAAUGUUUAUUUUUGCGGUCACACGCGAUCAAUACAACUUUCAACAACGGGUCUCUUGGCUCUCGCAUCGAUGAAGAACGCAGCGAAAUGCGAUACGUAAUGUGAAUUGCAGAAUUCAGUGAAUCAUCGAAUCUUUGAACGCACCUUGCGCCCCUUGGCAUUCCGAGGGGCACACCCGUUUGAGUGUCGUGAAAUCCUCAAAACCCCUCUUCCUUGGGAGUUUUGGAAUUGGAGGUUUAAUGCUCGCUUUUGCCUUUGAAAGUGAGCUCCUCUCAAAUGAAUCAGUGGGGUCUGCUUUGCUGGUCCUUGACGUGAUAAGAUGUUUCUACGUCUUGGAUUUGGCAUCGUCCCUGCUCCUAAUCGUCUCAUGGNCAAUGAUGGUGCUUCCGGUCACCGCCAUCCACAUCGGCGGGAGGCUGGACCACAAAGAGNAAACCUUGA